AUACGGAGGGUGCAAGCGUUGUUCGGAAUUACCGGGCGUAAAGCGCGUGCAGGCGGUAAGGUAAGUCAGAUGUGAAAGCCCCGGGCUCAACCCGGGAAGUGCAUUUGAUACUGCCUUUCUUGAGUAUGGGAGAGGAGAGUGGAAUUCCCAGUGUAGAGGUGAAAUUCGUAGAUAUUGGGAGGAACACCCGUGGCGAAGGCGACUCUCUGGACCAAUACUGACGCUGAGACGCGAAAGCGUGGGGAACGAACAGGAUUAGAAACCCUAGUAGUCC
rnacentral:rRNA from 1 species